rnacentral:rRNA from 1 species
UACGUAGGGACCAAGCGUUGUUCGGAUUUACUGGGCGUAAAGGGCGCGUAGGCGGCUUAACAAGUCACUUGUGAAAUCUCCGGGCUUAACCCGGAGCGGUCAAGUGAUACUGUCGUGCUAGAGUGCGGAAGGGGCUACUGGAAUUCUCGGUGUAGCGUGAAAUGCGUAGAUAAUCGGGAGGAACACCAGUGGCGAAGGCGGCACCUCUGGGCCAGUACUGACGUGAGGAGCGAAAGCGUGGGGAGCGAAACAG